AAAAGAAGGCAUUAUUUAUUAAAAAUGGAAAAAUAAAAUAAUCAAAAUAAGAUAUUCCAGGAAAUAAUGAGAAUUUUGAAAAUUUGAGAAUUUUGAGAAUUUAUCUCUCAUUCCAUUCAUGGUCUCCAGAGGGUUCAGUCAGGUCACUUGGUGUCUGGAACAUAACAUUACGGUGUCAAAAUAUUCAGCAUUCUUCAUUCUGACCAGUUAAGAAAUGAAUAAACAUUAAUUAUCAUUGAACAUUGCUCACGGGAGAGUUUGGGAUGAAUAUACCACACUAUAGAAAGUUAACACUGUUCAGUUCUGUGGAACAGCAAUAUGGGGACAUUCAAACACAGGCUCUCCAGAGUUAGGUUAAGACAAAAGUCAUGUCACCUGAAACACACUCAGGUUUUUCAGGUCUAAAGAAAUAUGAGGACAUGACGACUGAAAUCAUGGAGAGUCCAUGUUUCUGAUUUAUAACUUCUCCUGUGUUUGUCAAAGAAAGCUGAAAAUUCAAACCUAGUAUAUCAUGAUAAGAAGUAGUAACCUGUUGU